rnacentral:rRNA from 1 species
GACGAACGCUGGCGGCGUGCUUAACACAUGCAAGUCGAACGGAAAGGCCCUGCUUUUGUGGGGUGCUCGAGUGGCGAACGGGUGAGUAACACGUGAGUAACCUGCCCUUGACUUUGGGAUAACUUCAGGAAACUGGGGCUAAUACCGGAUAUGAGCUCCUGCUGCAUGGUGGGGGUUGGAAAGUUUCGGCGGUUGGGGAUGGACUCGCGGCUUAUCAGCUUGUUUGUGGGGUAGUGGCUUACCAAGGCUUUGACGGGUAGCCGGCCUGAGAGGGUGACCGGCCACAUUGGGACUGAGAUACGGACCAGAAUCCUACGGGAGGCAGCAGUGGGGAAUAUUGCACAAUGGGCGGAAGCCUGAUGCAGCAACGCCGCGUGCGGGAUGACGGCCUUCGGGUUGUAAACAGCUUUCGCCUGUGACGAAGCGUGAGUGACGGUAAUGGGUAAAGAAGCACCGGCUAACUACGUG